CCUGUGCCCGAAACUGGAGGAACAAGUGCUGUGUAGGAUGCUCUACUCUGAGUAACAGGUUGGACUUAUUACAAGUAAGAUCCCGUCAGGUGAAAAGGUGGAGUAGUGCCUAAAGCUUAAAACAAUAAAUAAUAAUAAACAAUAAUAAAGCUUGGAAGUAGUUGCCCCUGAGUUGAUGUUGAAAAGCUUUGGAUCUCUUGAAAAGAAAUAGCCCCCCUAGUCUGAAAUUCUGGUUAAAUC
rnacentral:lncRNA from 1 species